rnacentral:rRNA from 1 species
GACGAACGCUGGCGGCGUGCUUAACACAUGCAAGUCGAACGGAAAGGCCCUGCUUUUGUGGGGUGCUCGAGUGGCGAACGGGUGAGUAACACGUGAGUAACCUGCCCUUGACUUUGGGAUAACUUCAGGAAACUGGGGCUAAUACCGUAUAGGAGCUCCUGCUGCAUGGUGGGGGUUGGAAAGUUUCGGCGGUUGGGGAUGGACUCGCGGCUUAUCAGCUUGUUGGUGGGGUAGUGGCUUACCAAGGCUUUGACGGGUAGCCGGCCUGAGAGGGUGAACGGCCACAUUGGGACUGAGAUACGGACCAGACUCCUACGGGAGGCAGCAGUGGGGAAUAUUGCACAAUGGGCGGAAGCCUGAUGCAGCAACGCCGCGUGCGGGAUGACGGCCUUCGGGUUGUAAACCGCUUUCGCCUGUGACGAAGCGUGAGUGACGGUAAUGGGUAAAGAAGCACCGGCUAACUACGUG